UCAUUUCUCCUUUUUAAUUUCUCUCCAUUUCCCUGCCAAGUUAAGGAUCCAAACAAAGGAGUCUGUCAUUUUCUGGGUUUUGGAUAUAUUAAGGCAUUUUGUCAUUUCUGAAUGAUUUACUGUUGAUUACCAAAGAAGUUUGAGUUUGGCUGGUAGAUAUUUUAAUUUCAAUUUCUCGUUCUCAGUUUCUUCCUUGGAUUGAAAUUACUUCAACUAUUAUAUGGAAUUUGGUGCUUCUUGGUUCUCUUUAGCAAACAUGGUGAUGGAAUGUUGUUGGUACUCAUUGGUGAUAUGUGGAAAUUUUCGGUGUAGUAUUUAAGCUAAGCAUCUGAGCAUACCUCCGUUUUAAUUACCUGGCUAUUGAUCUCAACUUCUCUUAUAGAAUGUCUGGUCCAAUUUCUUGCAUUUUCUCUCAAAAAAUUCUUUGUAAAUGCUUUGGCAUAUCUUGUACAAAAGUGGAAAUUAUUGUAUCUAUGCCUGGUACUUUUAAGAAAGACUCAGAGAUCUGUAUAAGGUGUUAUUUCAGUUAUUUUUCGCAGUUUAUGUUGUUAGUAGCCUUUAUGGCAAUGAUUCUGUUUUUGACGUAGGUGUGCAUAAUGUAAUUUUCUCCAUUAGGGUUGUGAAUCAGCUUGCCAAAGAUGGAUCCUUCGUUUGUGCUGGUUGCCUUUUGAGAGGGAUUUGUAAAUAAAAUUAUGUUCUUUGCUUCAAUGCCUGUGUUUUGUCAAAUUUUACAGUUUAAACGAAUGGGCUAACUCCAAAACAUUGGAUCUGAUCAUUGAAUAAACUAUAAAGCUUUACGUGGUGAAUCUCAUUUCUUUUAUGCGCUGAAACACAUGUGGGAAAUUGUGAACGCGUACAACAACAACAAUAAUCAGCAACUAAGCUUUAAUCCCAAAUGUGAACACAUAAAGGAAUCAAAUUGGUUUGCUGGUUAUUACAUGAAUGUGUUGUUAAAAUUGAUGUGGCUUAUGCAAGAUACUGAAUAUAACAUGGGAUUUUGUGUUG
rnacentral:misc_RNA from 1 species